CUCAGUGUUCAGAGAAUGGGACCAGAAUUUUUGUUGUUGUUACUUUUCAACCUGGCCUGUGUCCAGUGUCAGUCUCAACAGAAGGUCUCUCAGUGGCCCUCACAGACGGUUGUGACCCAGGGCUCCUCUGUGGAGCUCCAGUGCAGUCAGAGUGGCUCUGACCAGAACAUGUACUGGUACCGCCAGCAGAGCUCUACAGGGCUACAGCUCGUCAUGCUUUCUGUCUACAUGAAUGAUCCAGAUAAGGGAGAGAACAUCAGUGAUAGAUUUACCAGCACAAGACUGAAAAUGGAGAAUAUAUCUCUCACUAUCAGUCAGGCUGAGGAGUCAGACACAGGUGUUUAUUUCUGUGCAGCAAGUCCCACAGCAGGCAAUGCUUAUUACUUUGGUCCAGGCACAAAACUCACAGUUAUAGAAGAAAAUGAUAUCAUAUCAAAGCCCAAAGUGAAAAUUCUCCCACCAUCCAAAAAGGAGAUCAAGACGAAGAAUCGUGCCACCCUGGUUUGUGUGGCCACCGACUUCUAUCCUGAUCAUGUCUCGAUCGCCUGGAAGAUCAAAAGCCGCGAUGAGACCCCCCGCGAUGAGACCCCCCGUUCCAAGACGGAUGAGUCUGCAAUACGGUCAGGCAAGCCCGGCAACUACAGCAUCACCAGUCGACUGAGGGUCAGAGCGGAAGAGUGGCAAAACACCCGGAAUAAAUUCUAUUGUUCAGUCAGCUUCUUCAAUGGAAACAAAACCAUAUACGUUAAUGCCACCAUCCAAGGGACCCUGUAUUGUGGCACUACAGCAGAGGAAAAUAAGCGGAGUGGAAAUGCAGCAGAGUUAUCGUAUAUUCUUGUCCUGGUGAAAAGUGCUCUGUUUGCGUUAUUUCUGGCAACCUUUGUAUGGAAAUUGAAGGGUUCCUCAGCAGCAAAGUUUCUUGACUGACAACAGACUGACAAGAAGAAACAUCAGAAGAAUCCUUUGAAAAAGAAACUAUAUAUGUGUGGUUUAUGUGUUUAUGAUAAGUAUAAUUUUAUUAUCAGGUGUUGCCUGUCAUCAUCUCUUAAGUAUCCAAGUUGUGUGUCAGGUUUUUCUUAAUUAUCCAAAAUGAGUUACAUUCAACAAUUGUAGAUUCCUACAGCUGUCAAAAAUGUUGACCAUCUGCAUAGUAUGUUUACUUCACAGGAUGUCAUGUGACCAAAGUUCUACUUUGGAACCCUUGUUCUCUGUAACAAUUCACUGAAUAUGAUUAUGGAGGGGGCAUGAUAAAGUAAUAUAAUAUAAAUGUAAAUGGAUGAAUAAUGGCUGUGAAAACUGAAUAUAAUAACUGAACAUAUAUUUCUAUAAAUGACCAAUAAUAUUGUCUGGCAGACAUCUAUAAUCAUUAAAGCUUCUGUUUUCAGUUUA